rnacentral:lncRNA from 1 species
CCCCACCCUCCUGGCCGCAGCGAACACCCGGAGAAGCGGAUUUGCGUCGCGCGGGUAGCUGGGCCGGCUCGUGCAGCGGACUGGGCAUGCUCGGCAGCCCGGGAGGCUCGCUGUGGCAAGUCGGAAGCGUUCGCACCAGCUAGGCAGCGGCCGGGCAGCGGCGGCGGCGGCGGCGCCGGCGGGGGCCACGACGGGAGCGGGAAGGGCCGGCCAGGGAAGGCUGCUCUCCCCUUGCGACCGACGAGCCGGCCUGACAGCGCGUUCCGGGUGCGGAGCCCCAACUCUGCCCUGCCCCGGAUUUCAUCCCGCAGCGGGGGGCUCGGCGAGCGGAAUUCCGGCGGCUGCCGUGACUCCGGUGCAAGGCGAGGACAGCAUGAACAUCCAUAAAUGUGCCUGUGGGCAUAUUUAGCCAUUCGUUUUUGAUUAGGAAAAAGAAGACGGCCAUCCACUUGAAAGGUGAGUAAAGAUUUCUGUGCGUCUUUUUAUUAUAAAAAUGUUCAAACAUACUGAAGAGUUAAAAAAUGUACAGUGAGUUUACAUUUAACAGUUGUUAGCAUUCUGCCACAUUGUGUGUACCUGUGUGUGUGUGUAUAGUAGGUUUCUACUGUUUUCUGCUGAAACAUGUGAAAGUAAGUUGAAGAGAUCAUGACAUUUUCUCCUCAAUUCUUGGGGAUGCAGUUCCUAAAAAUAAGAAUAUUCUCCCCUGAGGGACAUUUGAGAACAUUCAUAAACUCCAUGACAGAAUCAUUUAAUUAAACACAGUUACAGUUUCCUAUUAAAAGAUGUUAUUUUGAAUUUAUGUUCCCUUCCUGGCUGAUAUAAAUAAGGUCAGAUUUAAAAAAUAUUUAAACAGUGACUUACUUAAUGGACAGACCUAUAUAGUGAAUUUGUUUGAUGUGAAAAACAUCUGGAUAUAAAGGAUUGGACUUUGCACUACGCGCAUGUGCCCUGUAUAAGAGAGGAUUACUGUGCUUUCUCUGUUCCUGGUAAUCUGCCCAUCUGGCCUGCUGUAACUGAUGUUUAUUGUUAGGUCAGAGGAUCUGAUGACUACUCUUCCCUCCUUCCUGACCAGCAUUCACAAGUAGACCAGCCUCUGUGAUUUAAUGUGAUCAAAGGUCUUAAUUGAUUUUUUUAGCCUGAACUUACAAGGAGAAUGGGAAAAGAAUAUGAGUGGUAAUGUCCAGUUGAGGUUAGUGUAUUAAGAUCAACAUUAGAGAGAAUCAGAAUGAUUCCCAGCCCCCAAAUUUGACUACCUGCGUCGAAACUUUACAUAAAGUCUUAAAGAUGUGUGUUCAGCUCUGACUGUAGUUGUAAGUAUUACCCAUGAGGGCCGUUUACACAGUCGGUCAUUACAGCUCUGUGGUGCUUGCAGGGUUGCUGUUGCUGUUCUACAUUCUAACCUCAGUUACAUUUUGUUUACAGUAUCUUCUUCUGGAGGCCCUGAGUGUUGCAGCAUUUCUUCAUUCAUGUUUAUGAACUAGAUUUACCCAUUUAGAGCGUUAUUUUAAAAGAAGUCUGUUUAAGUGAGCCAUUUAGGGCAGCAGAGUCGUCUUAGUAUUUUCAUUUCUGAUUUAGAAUAAAAAGUUAGUGACAGCAGUAAAGUUUCUGAAAGACACUAACUUUCCGAAGACGCUGGGACUGGAAUUACAGGUAUCUCAAAAUGAUCUAGUUUGCUUUCUCACUGUUUGGCCUCUGUCUGGUUAUGCUUAGAAAAAAUGAGGAGGCGUGCCUGGGGCUCCACAUGAGGCAAGAGGCUCUGCAG